AUGACCUAAGAAAUUCUAAGGUGAUUAAGAAAGUUGCAGGAAAAACAGAUAAGAGAAUAAUGUAUAAAAGGUAUCCAACAUUAUUUGGGCAACUGCGAAACGAAAAGAGUAAAUUAGAACAUAGACAAAAGUCUGGAGUUUAUAAGAUAUCUACUAAGAAUAGCACUACAGAUGAAAAUGAAGUCUACUAAGAAUAGCACUAUAGAUGAAAGUCAAGUGAAGUUGGGGGUAACGACUAAAACACUAGAACAACGACUCAACGAACAUAAACGAGACUUAAGUAGAGGGAAUACUAAUACAGCAUUAGCAAUGGCCACCUUUGAGAAUGAUAUACAAGUAGACUGGCAUAAAGCAGAAAUAAUUAGACUAAACAUUACGUUCUAAAAUACUAACGUUAUUUUUAGAACAUAAUGUUCUAUUCUGUAAUGUUUGAAC
rnacentral:lncRNA from 1 species